GACGAACGCUGGUGGCGUGCCUAAUACAUGCAAGUCGAGCGGACCAAUAGAAGCUUGCUUCUGUUGGUUAGCGGCGGACGGGUGAGUAACACGUGGGCAACCUGCCUGUAAGACUGGGAUAACUUCGGGAAACCGGAGCUAAUACCGGAUAAUUCAUCCCCUCGCAUGAGGGGAUGCUGAAAGUCGGUUUACGCUGACAAUUACAGAUGGGACCGCGGCGCAUGAGCUAGUUGGUGAGGUAAUGGCUCACCAAGGCGACGAUGCGUAGCCGACCUGAGAGGGUGAUCGGCCACACUGGGACUGAGACACGGCCCAGACUCCUACGGGAGGCAGCAGUAGGGAAUCUUCCACAAUGGACGAAAGUCUGAUGGAGCAACGCCGCGUGAGCGAUGAAGGCCUUCGGGUCGUAAAGCUCUGUUGUUAGGGAAGAACAAGUAUCGGAGUAACUGCCGGUACCUUGACGGUACCUAACCAGAAAGCCACGGCUAACUACGUGCCAGCCGCCGCGGUAA
rnacentral:rRNA from 1 species